AGGGGGGCUAAUACAUGCAGUCGAACGCGUUGGCCCAAUUGAUUGAUGGUGCUUGCACCUGAUUGAUUUUGGUCGCCAACGAGUGGCGGACGGGUGAGUAACACGUAGGUAACCUGCCCAGAAGCGGGGGACAACAUUUGGAAACAGAUGCUAAUACCGCAUAACAGCGUUGUUCGCAUGAACAACGCUUAAAAGAUGGCUUCUCGCUAUCACUUCUGGAUGGACCUGCGGUGCAUUAGCUUGUUGGUGGGGUAACGGCCUACCAAGGCGAUGAUGCAUAGCCGAGUUGAGAGACUGAUCGGCCACAAUGGGACUGAGACACGGCCCAUACUCCUACGGGAGGCAGCAGUAGGGAAUCUUCCACAAUGGGCGCAAGCCUGAUGGAGCAACACCGCGUGAGUGAAGAAGGGUUUCGGCUCGUAAAGCUCUGUUGUUAAAGAAGAACACGUAUGAGAGUAACUGUUCAUACGUUGACGGUAUUUAACCAGAAAGUCACGGCUAACUACGUGCCAGCAGCCGCGGUAAUACGUAGGUGGCAAGCGUUAUCCGGAUUUAUUGGGCGUAAAGAGAGUGCAGGCGGUUUUCUAAGUCUGAUGUGAAAGCCUUCGGCUUAACCGGAGAAGUGCAUCGGAAACUGGAUAACUUGAGUGCAGAAGAGGGUAGUGGAACUCCAUGUGUAGCGGUGGAAUGCGUAGAUAUAUGGAAGAACACCAGUGGCGAAGGCGGCUACCUGGUCUGCAACUGACGCUGAGACUCGAAAGCAUGGGUAGCGAACAGGAUUAGAUACCCUGGUAGUCCAUGCCGUAAACGAUGAGUGCUAGGUGUUGGAGGGUUUCCGCCCUUCAGUGCCGGAGCUAACGCAUUAAGCACUCCGCCUGGGGAGUACGACCGCAAGGUUGAAACUCAAAGGAAUUGACGGGGGCCCGCACAAGCGGUGGAGCAUGUGGUUUAAUUCGAAGCUACGCGAAGAACCUUACCAGGUCUUGACAUCUUGCGCCAACCCUAGAGAUAGGGCGUUUCCUUCGGGAACGCAAUGACAGGUGGUGCAUGGUCGUCGUCAGCUCGUGUCGUGAGAUGUUGGGUUAAGUCCCGCAACGAGCGCAACCCUUGUUACUAGUUGCCAGCAUUAAGUUGGGCACUCUAGUGAGACUGCCGGUGACAAACCGGAGGAAGGUGGGGACGACGUCAGAUCAUCAUGCCCCUUAUGACCUGGGCUACACACGUGCUACAAUGGACGGUACAACGAGUCGCGAACUCGCGAGGGCAAGCAAAUCUCUUAAAACCGUUCUCAGUUCGGACUGCAGGCUGCAACUCGCCUGCACGAAGUCGGAAUCGCUAGUAAUCGCGGAUCAGCAUGCCGCGGUGAAUACGUUCCCGGGCCUUGUACACACCGCCCGUCACACCAUGAGAGUUUGUAACACCCAAAGUCGGUGGGGUAACCUUUUAGGAGCCAGCCGCUAAUGUGAAG
rnacentral:rRNA from 1 species